GAUGAAGAACGCAGCGAAAUGCGAUAAGUAGUGUGAAUUGCAGAAUUCAGUGAAUCAUCGAAUCUUUGAACGCACAUUGCGCCCCUUGGUAUUCCAUGGGGCAUGCCUGUUCGAGCGUCAUUUGUACCGUCAAGCUCUGCUUGGUGUUGGGUGUUUGUCUCGCCUCUGCGUGUAGACUCGCCUCAAAACAAUUGGCAGCCGGCGUAUUGAUUUCGGAGCGCAGUACAUCUCGCGCUUUGCACUCAUAACGACGACGUCCAAAAGUACAUUUUUACACUCUUGACCUCGGAUCAGGUAGGGAUACCCGCUGAACUUAAGCAUAUCAAUAAGCGGAGGA
rnacentral:misc_RNA from 1 species